CACGGAGUUAGCCGGUGCUUAUUCGUUAGGUACCGUCAUUAUUCUUCCCUAACAAAAGGAGUUUACGCUCCGAAAAGUGUCAUCCUCCACGCGGCGUUGCUGCGUCAGGGUUUCCCCCAUUGCGCAAUAUUCCCUACUGCUGCCUCCCGUAGGAGUUUGGACCGUGUCUCAGUUCCAAUGUGACUGAUCAUCCUCUCAGGCCAGUUACGCGUCAUAGCCUCGGUAGGCCGUUACCCCACCGACUAGCUGAUACGAUAUAGUCUCAUCCCUUGCCGAAAUUCUUCCCCGAUUUAUCUUAAUGGUAAAAAGGAGUAUGGAGUAUUAGCAGUCAUUUCUAACUGUUGUCCUCCAGCAAGGGGCAGAUUAGCUAUAUAUUACUCACCCGUGCGCCAACUAAAUUUAAAAGAGCAAGCUUACUUUUUAAAAUUCCGUUACGACUUUGACUAUGUAUUAGGCUACGCCGCAGCGUU
rnacentral:rRNA from 1 species